rnacentral:lncRNA from 1 species
AAUUUGGUUUGGUUUCUCUGUUAUAUUUUAGUACACAGAGGUGUUGAGGAUAUGUCAAAAUGGUGUGAUCAUGCAUGUGUAGAAGAUGAUAGAACCAAACGAAGGUAGAGUUUAGGAAUUUCACGAUUUUAACUUUCCAUUCUUCUUACUUUGCUUUGUUGUUUUCUCUAGAUUCGGAAGCGUACAUGAACAGUUAGAGGAAAAGUUCAUCAGAGUAAACGAUCGGCAAGAUAUAUCCAUUGCAAGAAAGUGUUCCACAACGUGAAAUGUUGCCUAUUUCUUAGCUCUUUCAUUUUACUGGCCUAUAUAUUCAAUUAAUUUACACUAAAAUUAAAUUAUUUUGUGCAGUGCUUUUGUGCAACGAUAUGGGAACCCACUCUUGGUGGCUCUUACUUGUAGCAAUUGAUGUAGAAAAUUGAUUGGAUGUAUGGAAGAGAGAAGAUUAAGUGAAUGAAAGCAGAUGAGAAAAUACAAGAAGGAUUUGGAACAUAGUGAACGUCAAACUGCGAGAGACAUCAACCCACAAGAUCCAAUUCGAUUUUGCACUCAUUUCUCGCCCAAGACAUAACGUUUACAGAUAGUCUCAUAUACCAAAUCAAUUUUUUUUCCACAUC